GAGGGUAUAGCUCAGUGGUAGAGCACAUACUUAGCAUGCAAGAGGUCCUGGGUUCAAUCCUCAGUACCUCCA
rfam:Camelus ferus unplaced genomic scaffold scaffold256, whole genome shotgun sequence.